rnacentral:lncRNA from 1 species
UUUGUUAAGGUUAGGAUAUGGUUUAGGAUUUGGUUUAAGAUUUAGGAUUUAGGAUUUGAUUUAGGAUUUGAUUUAGGAUUUAGGGUUUGGAUUAGGAUUUAGGAUUUGAUUUAGGAUUUGGUUAGAGAUUGGUUUAAGGUUUAAGGUUUGAUUAAGGUUUGAUUAAGAUUUGAUUAAUGGAUUUAGGAUUUAUCUAGGAUUUG